rnacentral:rRNA from 1 species
AUUGAACGCUGGCGGCAGGCCUAACACAUGCAAGUCGAGCGGAUGAAGGGAGCUUGCUCCUGGAUUCAGCGGCGGACGGGUGAGGAAUGCCUAGGAAUCUGCCUGGUAGUGGGGGAUAACGUCCGGAAACGGGCGCUAAUACCGCAUACGUCCUGAGGGAGAAAGUGGGGGAUCUGCGGACCUCACGCUAUCAGAGGAGCCUAGGUCGGAUUAGCUAGUUGGUGGGGUAAAGGCCUACCAAGGCGACGAUCCGUAACUGGUCUGAGAGGAGGAUCAGUCACACUGGAACUGAGACCCGGUCCAGACUCCUACGGGAGGCAGCAGUGGGGAAUAUUGGACCAUGGGCGAAAGCCUGAUCCAGCCCUGCCGCGUGUGUGAAGAAGGUCUUCGGAUUGUAAAGCACUUUAAGUUGGGAGGAAGGGCAGUAAGUUAAUACCUUGCUGUUUUGACGUUACCAACAGAAUAAGCACCGGCUAACUUCGUG